AGAUUCUAGGACAAAAAGAAGUCAGUUUAGGUUCAAAAGAGCACGCACAGAUCCUGAGUGUUGUCAAGCACCCGUGACUGGGAAACGGAGGCGUCCGAUCCGUAUUGGAGUCAAUUCGCCACUUAAUUGAACACAGCCUCGAAGGGAAGGGCCAUAUUUGUGGGCCUGUCUAACAAUUAAGAGUGACCACAUGGAAUGGGGGAUGAAAGGGUUAAAGAAGAACAAAUAUUGAACACAGCUUUUCUAUGAACAAACUGCAGGCAGCUGCUGCUUUGCAAGGGGAACUUCUUGGCUGCCAUUUCUGGAUGUCAAGGCUGCAGAUACACUGGUCAGGACCCUGGGUAGAGAGAGAUGCGUCAGAAUGCGGCUCCUUUCAGAAAGGCUUCUCCGGAGGUUGGUGAGGUCAGCUGACUACUAGAAGACAGAUCUAUUUGAAGAUUUUUGUGGUGGUCUUUACUACUCCAGAGAUUUACAGCUGAUGAAAAAUGGAGAAGUACAUGACCCUACCCUGCUGUUGGACAUGCUACCCAAGGAUCAUGACUGACAACUUGUCAACAUCACUAUUGCUUAUUUAAUAAAUGUGCAGUACUACUUCAAUAAACCUGGAAUCAUAAAAUUUUAGAGAAC
rnacentral:lncRNA from 1 species